ACAGGAAAAUCUUCACGGAUUCAAGAUGAACCUCAGACAUCACAGGAGCGGCUGGAGGAUGCCCAACCUUCAGGAGGAGAAGUGCCAGAAUCUGAGCCAGACACAUCUCAACAGAUUCGACAGAAGAAACUCUCUAAAGGAAAAUCUUCACGGAUUCUAGA